ensembl:snoRNA
UAGCAAGCCUCCAGCGUGCUUGGGUCUGCGGUGACCCUAUGCAUUCCUUAAGUGCUUGCUAGAACAGUUUUGAAACGGUUUGAGGCCUUGCCCUGCUCCAUCCAGAGCAAGGUUAUAGAAAUUUCAGACAAUG